GUGGGUUCGGAUGUAAACAUUGCCGGUCCAUCCAAGCUGCGGUUUGUGAAUCGCUUCUGCAACAAUAUACUUGGACGGGCCAGCUGUGCGUGCCACCUAGCGGCGGUGUUCGUCACUAGGCGCGGCCGCCGUCUCUGCCGCCGCCAGGCCGCUCAGAGCCCCGCGGCCGGCGGUCGAGCCAGGCCGGAUGGGGGACUCGAUGGUGCGACGCUCGGGCCGCGCGGCCGGCGCUGACAGUGGCUGGUAUGCGCCACAGCAGCGCCAUCGCUCGGAUCCGGCCUGGCACCCUCCGCCUGCCAGCGGUCGGAGUCGGCGCACCUCCCGUCUGGGCGGUCCGCAUCGGUCGCGUCCGGCCGACCCACGCCCGGCCGCUGCCCCCUCAGCUAAGGCCCCGCAGCUGGACGUGGCGGCGCCGGGCUGCACGGCGG